UACGGAGGAUGCGAGCGUUAUCCGGAUUUAUUGGGUUUAAAGGGUGCGCAGGCGGGCGUUUAAGUCAGCGGUGAAAGGCUCGGGCUCAACCGGAGCAGUGCCGUUGAUACUGGAUGUCUUGAAUGCGGUCAAGGCCGGCGGAAUGUGGCGUGUAGCGGUGAAAUGCAUAGAUAUGCCACAGAACACCGAUAGCGAAGGCAGCUGGCCGGGCCUGCAUUGACGCUGAGGCACGAAAGCGUGGGGAU
rnacentral:rRNA from 1 species